CGAGGUAGUGAAAUAAGGUUUUAAUUGGAUGCUAAGUGAAUGAUUAAACAGUUAUAAGCUUUAUUAUAUUUGUUAAUAGAAGUUAAUAUAAAAAUGAAAAAGUUUUUAUAUCAUAUUGGGACAAGAAGACCCUAUGAAUUUUUAUGUUAUUUAUUUAUAUAAUUUUAGGAAUAAUGUUAUUAAUGUAUUAAUAUUUGGUUGGGGUGACACAUAAAGAAUUAUGAACUUUAUGAGAUAAAUGUAUGGUCCCAUUAUUAAUGAUUAGUGGUAAAAAAUACUCUAGGGAUAACAGCGUUAUUAUUUUGGAUAGUUCAUAUUGAUAAAAUAGUUUGCGACCUCGAUGUUGGAUUAAGAUUACAGGAUGAUGUAGAAGUCAUUUUUGUGAGUUUGCUCAACUCUUAAAUUCUUACUUGAUCUGAGUUCAGACCGG
rnacentral:rRNA from 1 species